GCCCUACUUGUGUUCACAACAGGAGACUCGACAGGCGCACAACGGCCAUCAGACCGUAUCUGCACAAGUAUUUCACCGGAUAAUAACCGAUUGAGUCACUAGCGGCCAUCGAGGACGGCCACUAACCUGACAAAGGAUUUCAAAACUUUCAUUCUGGAGCAGGCGAGUACUUUUAAUGGAUCGUAGGCGUAUCAACAAGCAACAUCGGGGCCAACCUACAUAGCAGAGUGAUCCCGAUAUGCUUCCAGAACUUGACAACUGUCACAGUACACCUUUACUUGACGAAAAACCCAGAAAUGUGGAGGGAUCGAUUAGGCCUUACCGUACUGUUCAAAAACAUAUCAAAAAGUGUUCAGGUAUCCAUGCGAAUUCAUAGACAAAUCGUUCGCUGGGGGCGGCUCACCUUCAAAUCCAUGCACUCCUGAAUAUCUCUGCACGGCUGAAUAAAAUAACCCGUAUCGGACUCAAAGUUAGUGACUGCGAGACGCCUAGAGAUACACAGGCCCCUAGACAAGAUGGCUGCAAA